rfam:Triticum urartu cultivar G1812 contig946478, whole genome shotgun sequence.
CAAAUACUCCCUCCAUCCAGAAAUACUUGUCAUCAAAAUGGAUAAAAGGAAAUGUAUCUAGAUGUAUUUUAGUUUUAGAUACAUCUCUUUUUAUCCAUUUUGAUGACAAGUAUUUUCAGACGAAGGGAGGGAGUAGAAA